GACAGGGAUGCUUGACGUGCUGCAGUCCAUGGGGUAACAAAGCAUCAGACAUGACUGAGCAACUGAACAAUAACAGCAGCCUGCUGAUGGACAUGGACGUGUGACCUAGUCCUGGACAAUGAGAGACUGGAACCUGGAGACAGGAGUCGAUGAAAAGAAGGCAAAGAAAAGAAGGAUGCGGGGGACCCAAGUCUCUAGUGGAAUAAGGGUGCUUUAAUCAUGGUGGCGUGUGCUUAUAUAUUGUUAACAAGGAAGCUUUAGGCAGAAAAAUAAAGUUGAGUAAAAACACUGAAAUCAAAUGCAUAACAACAGUAACUAAGGGAAUAACAAUCGUCAUGGGGCCAUAACAACAGUAACUAGGGGAAUAGCAAUUGUCACAGGGCCAGAAGACAACCCAUGUAUUGG
ensembl:lncRNA